rnacentral:rRNA from 1 species
CCUGGUUGAUUCUGCCAGUAGUCAUAUGCUUGUCUCAAAGAUUAAGCCAUGCAUGUCUAAGUAUAAGCAACUUUAUACUGUGAAACUGCGAAUGGCUCAUUAAAUCAGUUAUAGUUUAUUUGAUGGUACUUUGCUACAUGGAUAACUGUGGUAAAUCUAGAGCUAAUACAUGCUUAAAAGCCCCGACUUCUUGGAAGGGGUGUAUUUAUUAGAUAAAAACCAACCCUUCGGGUCCCUUGGUGAAUCAUAAUAACUUUUCUAAUCGCAUGGCCUUGUGCCGGCGAUGCUUCAUUCAAAUAUCUGCCCUAUCAACUGUCGAUGGUAGGAUAGAGGCCUACCAUGGUUGCAACGGGUAACGGGGAAUAAGGGUUCGAUUCCGGAGAGGGAGCCUGAGAAACGGCUACCACAUCCAAGGAAGGCAGCAGGCGCGCAAAUUACCCAAUCCCGACACGGGGAGGUAGUGACAAUAAAUAACAAUAUAGGGCUUUUAAAGUCUUAUAAUUGGAAUGAGUACAAUUUAAAUCCCUUAACGAGGAACAAUUGGAGGGCAAGUCUGGUGCCAGCAGCCGCGGUAAUUCCAGCUCCAAUAGCGUAUAUUAAAGUUGUUGCAGUUAAAAAGCUCGUAGUUGAACUUCAGGCCUGGCCGGUCGGUCCGCUUAACAGCGUGUACUGCUUGGCCGGGCCUUCUCUCUUGGUGAUCCGGCAUGCUCUUUACUGGGUGUGUCGGGGAACCAGGAUUUUUACUUUGAAAAAAUUAGAGUGUUCAAAGCAGGCCUAUGCCCGAAUAUAUUAGCAUGGAAUAAUAAAAUAGGACGUGCGGUUCUAUUUUGUUGGUUUCUAGGAUCGCCGUAAUGAUUAAUAGGGAUAGUUGGGGGCAUUAGUAUUCACAUGCUAGAGGUGAAAUUCUUGGAUUUUGUGAAGACUAACUACUGCGAAAGCAUUUGCCAAGGAUGUUUUCAUUAAUCAAGAACGAAGGUUAGGGGAUCGAAAACGAUCAGAUACCGUUGUAUCUUAACAGUAAACUAUG